AGUGAACGCUGGCGGCAGGCCUAACACAUGCAAGUCGAACGGCAGCACAGCAGUAGCAAUACUGUGGGUGGCGAGUGGCGGACGGGUGAGGAAUACAUCGGAAUCUGCCCUAUCGUGGGGGAUAACGUAGGGAAACUUACGCUAAUACCGCAUACGACCUCGGUGAAGACGUGGAUCGCAAGACCACGCGCGAUUGGAUGAGCCGAUGUCGGAUUAGCUAGUUGGCGGGGU
rnacentral:rRNA from 1 species